rnacentral:rRNA from 1 species
GACGAACCGUCCAAACGUUAUUCGGUAUCACUGGGCUUAAAGGGUGCGUAGGCUGCCGGAUAAGUUGGGUGUGAAAGCCCUCGGCUCAACCGAGGAAUUGCGCCCAAAACUGUCUGGCUUGAGGGAGAUAGAGGUGAGCGGAACUUAGGGUGGAGCGGUGAAAUGCGUUGAUAUCCUAAGGAACACCCGUGGCGAAGGCGGCUCACUGGGUCUUUCCUGACGCUGAGGCACGAAAGCUAGGGGAGCGAACGGG